UCAUCAUGACUGUUACGUCUGGACUACACACGUGCUACAAUGGUCGGACAGAGGGUUGCCAAGCCGCGAGUGGCGCUAAUCUCACAAAACCGAUCGUAGUCCAGGAUCGCAGUCUGCAACUCGACUGCGUGAAGUCGGAAUCGCUAGUAAUCGCGAAUCAGAAUGUCGCGGUGAAUACGUUCCCGGGCCUUGUACACACCGCCCGUCACACCAUGGGAGUGGGUUGCACCAAGAAGUAGCUAGUCUAACCUUCGGGGGGACGGUUACCACGGUGUAGAUUCAUGACUGGGGCGAAGUCGUAACAAGGUAGCCGUAGGGAA
rnacentral:rRNA from 1 species